rnacentral:rRNA from 1 species
GGUGGCGAGUGGCGAACGGGGGGCACGUGUCCUAGAGUGGGGGAUAGCCCGGGAGAAGGAUUAAUACCGCAUACGCUCGAGAGAGGAAAGCGGGGGAUCUGACCUCGCGCUCAAGGGGCGGCCGAUGGCGGAUUAGCUAGUUGGUAGGGUAAAGGCCUACCAAGGCGACGAUCCGUAGCUGGUCUGAGAGGACGACCAGCCACACUGGGACUGAGACACGGCCCAGACUCCUACGGGAGGCAGCAGUGGGGAAUUUUGGACAAUGGG